UACGGAGGGUGCAAGCGUUGCUCGGAAUUAUUGGGCGUAAAGGGCAGGUAGGUGGUCUUAUUUGUCUGAUGUGAAAGCCUUGGGCUUAACUCAAGAAGUGCGUCAGAAACGGUGAGACUAGAGUGCUGGAGAGGGUCGUGGAAUUCCCGGUGUAGCGGUGAAAUGCGUAGAGAUCGGGAGGAACACCAGAGGCGAAGGCGGCGACCUGGACAGUGACUGACACUCAACUGCGAAAGCGUGGGGAGCAAACAGG
rnacentral:rRNA from 1 species